rnacentral:rRNA from 1 species
UACGUAGGGGGCAAGCGUUGUCCGGAAUCAUUGGGCGUAAAGCGCGUGUAGGCGGUCCGGUAAGUCCGCUGUGAAAAGUCGGGGGGCUCAACCCCUCGGAUGCCCGGUGGAUACUGUCGGGCUUGAGUACGGGAAGAGGCGAGUGGAAUUCCUGGUGGUAGCGGUGAAAAUGCGCAGAUAUCGGGAGGAACACCAAUUGCGAAGGCAGCUCGCUGGGACGGUACUGACGCUGAGGCGCGAAAGCGUGGGGAGCAAACAGG